CUCUCUCUUUCUCUGUCCCUGAAAUAAGAACCAUAUUUCGAGGUUCAAUUCUUGCUAGAUUGUGAGAUUUCCCUUUGAUUUUUUGGUGUCAGUCUUGUUUACACCGCAAACAAGGGAGAAAAAAAUUAUCUUAUGCAAAUUAAGCGUUGAAGCUGUGGUUUUUAGGCCUUACUUAGUGAAGCCACUAAUUAGACUUGGUUACCGCCUUCUCUGCGUAAUUGUACAGACUUCACUCCUCUUACCAUCGCUUAUGCCAUGAGAGUCUUUUGCAGUCAAGCUUAAGACUUGAAGUGGCAUGUCGAAGAGGUGAUCAAUUAGAGCUACUUUUCAAAAAAAAAAAAAAAAGCGUUGAAGCUGUGGUGUUAAUUAAUUGGUUGAAGAUUGGUGUCUACAGGUGGAUAUUUUAAGCUAUGCCUGCUCUGAAUAAGGCCUUUUUAUCCUGGCAUUUAAGUUUCUGGUUGCCGGCAGCUACAGUGGCAACCCUGGUUGAAGAGACGCCAGUCAAUUUUUACAUCGGGAUUGUCUCUACCCGAUACCUGGUUUAUAUGCUUGGUCAAUGUUGAGGCGAAGCCAUCCAUAUAAACCAUUAUAAUUUUGAUCGGUUGAAAGCAGAAAUAUAACCUUUUGUGAUCAUAACUAUAUGUUCUUCACUAGUACAAAAUUUUCCGACCAAACCCUUCCCAUCCUUACCCUCAUGUUAUGAUCUUUUUCCAUUUUGAAGCUUAGAUAAAAAGUUUAAAAUGUUUCCUUUCAAAUGAAUUAAAAAAUAAUGAAAAAGAUGAAUCCUUGGAAAUCGAUAUCAAGGAAGGAAAAAUUAACGUGCCUCGGUGUAUGGGAUUAGUUUAACGUGCUCCUGGGCUACAAUCUUUCAACUACUUAUAAUUGUUUUGUAUGAGGCGUGUUUAUAUUCUUCUGGUUGACCUCAAUUUUGCAGGGAUGGUAAAUAGCAGGAUAAUUCAUUAUGUUCUUCUGCAGAGAAACAAUGAUAUUCUGGUAGUGAAUGAUGUUACAUGCGGACGGUGUUCUACUGCAACAAAUCUUCUGCCAUUGUUGGAGGUUAAAGACUUCAUCAGCAUUUUGUAUCUCUGCUGGAAUUAAUACAAAACAUAUUGGAGGUUAAAGACCUCUUGUACGAUGGUCUUUAAUUGCCGGAAGAUUACCAAGUAAACUUCUUUCUUCAUCUACUUCUUGUUGCAGUCUUCCCCAUAUGUUGUUGUUCCAGCAGGGAAAGCAGAUGAAUCACGGCUUGCAAGUCUGGUGGGGAAGAAGUGAACUGAUAAGGUGGACGCAAACAUCUCCCAGGCUGACAUGCGACACGGUGCAUAUUCAACACCCACAAUGUGCGAAACUGACAUGCUAAAGAAAGCAAAUAGGUCACUCUCCAAUCUCCAUCAACAUUAUACAUGAUUAUCUCGGUGUCCUAUGUUUUGAAGAUAUGGUUAUCUCGAUGCCAAUAUCGUGCGGAAUACUCAAGAGUUCUGUGGACUUAUGCAGGUAUUUCCCUUAUAGUAUAAAAUUACUAAUGCAUGUUACUUAAAAUUUGGUUUAGUUUAAUGCAUUACCCUGCAGCACAAGAAAGAAAAAAAUAAUAACAAUGAUAGGGAAAGCAUAGUUUCUGGUAAGGAAUCACUUUCAUAUGAUGCUUUAUUACGAUCUAAAUGUUUUAAAAUUGUAAUGAAAAAAAUGUGUAAAGAUUAGAAACCCUGUAUCUUCCAAUUUGCGAAUAUUUUUUAUGAUUUGUCAAUCGUCGCGAGCAGUGGAACGAUCCCUCGGCAGACUCGUUAAACUGUCGCACGAUGCAUCACUAGAGGCAGCGGUCUCGUUGAUCAUGCCAAUGUCAAUGGACAGGUCAUAUCCAUCUGGAUUUUGAUGUGACUGCCUCAAAAGAUAAGAUGCAAAAAUUUGUUGGGGGAGAAAUAGAAUUGAAGGGUAAUUGGAAGGGAAAAAUAUUGGGUUUGUGUGCGUCACGGAUUGCAUCAGAUAAGAUAAGGCUAAAUCCGUGCAUGACUAAUUGAAUCUAGCCAAUCAGGUCAUUUGCUUACCUUAACAGGCUGGAUAUGUGUUUUUCGGCUCUAAAUUGUAAAC